rnacentral:piRNA from 1 species
UAGGUAGAUAGAUAUAAAAAGUAGACCAAA